UAGGGAAUCUUCGGCAAUGGGGGUAACCCUGACCGAGCAACGCCGCGUGAGUGAAGAAGGUUGUCGGAUCGUAAAGCUCUGUUGUUAAGGAAGAACGAGUGUGAGAAUGGAAAGUUCACGCUUUGACGGUACUUAACCAGAAAGGGACGGCUAACUACGUGUCAGCAGCCGCGGUAUUACGUAGGUCCCGAGCGUUGUCCGGGUUUAUUGGGCGUAAAGCGAGCGCAGGCGGUUAGAAAAGUCUGAAGUGAAAGGAAGUGGCUCAACCAUUGUAGGCUAUGGGAACUGUUUAACUUGAGUGCAGAAGGGGAGGGUGGAAUUCCAUGUGUAGCGGUGAAAUGCGUAGAUUUAUGGAGAAAAACCCGUGGCGAAUGCGGAUAUCACGUCUGUAACUGACGAUGAGGCUAGAAAGCGUGGGGUGCGAACAGG
rnacentral:rRNA from 1 species